rnacentral:sRNA from 1 species
AUUAACAAAACAAAAAAAAAAGGAAAAAA